rnacentral:snRNA from 1 species
AUAUUUACCUGGCAGGGGAGAUACCAUGAUCAUGAAGGUGGUUUCCCAGGGUGAGGCUUACCCAUUGCACUCCAGAUGUGCUGACCUCUGCGAUUUCCCCAAAUGUGAGAAACUCAACUGCAUCAUUUGUGGUAGUGGGGGCUGCGUUUGUGCUAAA